rnacentral:rRNA from 1 species
UACGUAGGGUGCAGGCGUUGUUCGGAAUUACUGGGCGUAAAGGGCGCGUAGGCGGCCUUCUAAGUCGAACGUGAAAUCCCCGGGCUCAACCCGGGAACUGCGUCCGAUACUGGAAGGCUUGAAUCCGGGAGAGGGAUGUGGAAUUCCAGGUGUAGCGGUGAAAUGCGUAGAUAUCUGGAGGAACACCGGUGGCGAAGGCGACAUCCUGGACCGGUAUUGACGCUGAGGCGCGAAAGCCAGGGGAGCAAACGGG